UGUAUGCGUAUGUUUGUGACUGUUGCGCCCUGUGUUGCGAAAAGUGUGCUUGGUCGCAGAUUCGCGUGCAAAUGGCGCAUGAGCUAACAACACGUUUUAGGAGGCUGUCGAACGGUUGAAGAUGGGACAACAGCAGACCAGGCUAUUCAGGGAUACACCGAAGUGUUGAUUUGGAGGGCUUUGGAGUGGAGUAGGUUGGUUGGACUGCGCGCGUUUUGUUACGAAACGGGGCAGUGGUGUUACGAAAGUGCGUGUGGGCGCCUUCCCUGCGUAGGGAGCUUUUGCGGAGGGAUAUCAACCAUUGCAGGAUGCAUGUGCAUUGGGCUGCUAGGCCCCAGUACCGAGGCGCUCGUUACUGGUUGGCGAUAUCGUCAAACGCAGAGAUCACCUCAUAUAUUCGCUGCUGUGGAUUUCCUGUUUGUUUUUGUUGUAGUGUCAGCUGCAGAUUGGCGCGUGGAACGCCUGGGUGUGUCCCUUGCCAUGGGGGGCUCUCGGGUCGAAAAAGUGUACUUCGUGUGAAAGGGCCUACAGGAACUGGGUGGCUGCUGGAAUGCAGGUCUAGUAGAGGCAUGGAGGGUGGGUAAUGUCAGGGGAUCAUCCAAAUCGAAGGUUGGAGUUCAAAAUCGAAGGUUGGAGUUUCAUACACCGCAAACUCAGGAUGUAGGAACGGAGUAUAUGCGUUCGGGAUUUCGUGUGUAUGUAUGUGUGUGCAUUACGAUGAGUCCAUGAGUGCCUCCAUAUUCAUACCUUCAUGUACCAUGUGAACAUGGGACGUGUACGGCAUGCAUGGGAUGUAUUGCGGACCCAUGCACGCCGCCCUUGGUUGUACCGACAGAUGUGAUUGCGGCUGAAGUUUUACACCGUACUUUUUGCUGCUGCAGGUUCUAAGUUGUUAUGGGUUGCAGGAAAUUUCCGUAACCGGUCCGCGUUGCCGUUGUCGCCGACAUGUCAGGCAGCCGUGCAAGGAUUUGUAGCAUGCAUAUAUUUAGUGUGGAACCUUGCAUUAUCGUAGAUGAUGCUUGGUAUGUGAAUGUGCGAAUCUCACUGGUCUGGAUGGCUGGAACGACACCCGUAUUCAAGGUUGUAAACCAGAAAUUGGAUCAGCUGAAAACCCAACCCCACCUCGUCCACACAUCUGAUGCACGUGUGGAGAUGUGAGAAUUCC
rnacentral:lncRNA from 1 species